GACGAACGCUGGCGGCGUGCCUAAUACAUGCAAGUAGAACGCUGAAGGAGGAGCUUGCUUCUCUGGAUGAGUUGCGAACGGGUGAGUAACGCGUAGGUAACCUGCCUGGUAGCGGGGGAUAACUAUUGGAAACGAUAGCUAAUACCGCAUAAUAGUAGAUGUUGCAUGACAUUUGCUUAAAAGGUGCAAUUGCAUCACUACCAGAUGGACCUGCGUUGUAUUAGCUAGUUGGUGAGGUAACGGCUCACCAAGGCGACGAUACAUAGCCGACCUGAGAGGGGGAUCGGCCACGCUGGGACUGGGACACGGCCCAGACUCCUACGAGAGGCAGCAGUAGGGAAUCUUUGGCAAUGGACGGAAGUCUGACCGAGCAACGCCGCGUGAGUGAAGAAGGUUGUCAGAUCGUAAAGCUCUGUUGUAAGAGAAGAACGAGUGUGAGAGUGGAAAGUUCACACUGUGACGGUAUCUUACCAGAAAGGGACGGCUAACUACGUG
rnacentral:rRNA from 1 species